UAAUAAUAAAGAAUUUGAUGCACAAAAGAAUUAAAAUUUCAAUCAAAUGCAGCACAAAUAUUAUCGUCUUGAUCUCAUCUUUGUUACACAUUAAGUCAUUGCCAAGUUUGUUGAUGUAAAAUUUGUAUAUGCAAAUAGUAAUAAUAAUGUAACAGCCACAUCUGCAGCAUACUCACACGCUUCAUGAUUUAGAAAAACAGUUUGGGCGUACCGGGGCAGGAUGCAACAUUUCCCCAGCUUUUGUGUCAAGUUUCUGAGUUGGAAUGUUCGUGGAAUUCGAUUCUAGUGUCAGCUAAUUAUCUUCCUAUAAAAAAGUAUUACACAUCUUUUUAAUGUGUAGGUUCAGUAAGUCUUUAUAAUCAUCACUUUUAACUAAACUUACCCCCCCCCCUCCCAACACGUAUGAUGCUCGGUACGUCCCUGCCAACAGUCAACGUAUUCAUUCAUCUUGCAAUUAAUCUUAUUACGAUUAGAAUAGUUGGUAGAUUCUAGUACAAAUCAAUAUAAAAUUAAUAAUUUAUUAAAGAUUUACCUGCUCACAAUAAAUAUAUAAGUAUAUUAUAAUAUGUUUAAAGAUAAUAUCUUGUGCAGCACCUCACUCUUAUCUAUUAUAUAUAAUAUUAUCNAAUAUUAUCUAUUAUUACCUAAUAUUAUCUAUUAUAAUAUUUUCAUAUGCAACACAUAUUUGCGUACCAAUCACUUGCUGUAUUUCAAUCUGAAUAUUUUUACGACUCUAUAUCAAGUUUUAUAGUACAGUUAGUCCGCAUAAAUUUUGCAAAUUCAUAAAUAUAAAAUUUGACAGUAGCAACAACUGCUUAAAAUUAUAAAAUUUUAGAGAUUUGCAGGACCUGUAGUGUCUUAUGCAGUACCCAGUGGCUAAUUUAGGAGGGAGGAUAUGAGGCUGCAGUCGUCUUUUCGUAAUUUCUGUUCUUUUUGAGAAAAUUGCCUCUUAAACAAUAUUCGUACUUUUUCUAUUUCACUGUCGCGUCUUCAAAACCUAAAUUUUUCUCUAAAAUCUCAAAUCAGACACAUUUUAUUCAAAUGAAGGAUUAAUAACGUAUUUGAGCCUCGGAGGCACAGCCUUCCCCAGAUAAAGAUCCUGGAUUUGCCACUAGUAGUACCUAUAGUAUGUUUUUCAAGUUAAUGGUAAAAGUUAUUAAAAAGGACAGUUUGCUUUAUGAAGUUGCAGAUUUUAAAAAGUACAUGUGUAAAGUAUAAAAUGUAACAAAUUUACAACUUUUAGACAGCAAGCUUGUAUUUUUCGAAUAUCCAUUAAAUACUUACUUAUCAAUACCUAAAUAAAACUUAUCAUUCAACGUUA